rnacentral:rRNA from 1 species
AUUGAACGCUGGCGGCAGGCCUAACACAUGCAAGUCGAACGGUAACAGGAAGACGCUUGCUUCUUUGCUGACGAGUGGCGGACGGGUGAGUAAUGUCUGGGAAACUGCCUGAUGGAGGGGGAUAACUACUGGAAACGGUAGCUAAUACCGCAUAACGUCGCAAGACCAAAGAGGGGGACCUUCGGGCCUCUUGCCAUCGGAUGUGCCCAGAUGGGAUUAGCUAGUAGGUGGGGUAACGGCUCACCUAGGCGACGAUCCCUAGCUGGUCUGAGAGGAUGACCAGCCACACUGGAACUGAGACACGGUCCAGACUCCUACGGGAGGCAGCAGUGGGGAAUAUUGCACAAUGGGCGCAAGCCUGAUGCAGCCAUGCCGCGUGUAUGAAGAAGGCCUUCGGGUUGUAAAGUACUUUCAGCGGGGAGGAAGGGAGUAAAGUUAAUACCUUGGCUCAUUGACGUUACCCGCAGAAGAAGCACCGGCUAACUCCGUG